ACGAACGCUGGCGGCGUGCUUAACACAUGCAAGUCACGGGGGGUAGCAAUACCAACCGGCGAACGGGUGCGUAACACGUGAGCAAUCUGCCGAUGUCUGGGGGAUAGCCGGCCCAACGGCCGGGUAAUACCGCAUACGCUUGCUUUGAGGAGUCUCGAGGCAAGGAAACCUCCGGGGGACAUCGAGGAGCUCGCGGCCUAUCAGCUAGUUGGCGGGGUAAUGGCCCACCAAGGCUCUGACGGGUAGCUGGUCUGAGAGGAUGGCCAGCCACAUUGGGACUGAGAAACGGCCCAGACUCCUACGGGAGGCAGCAGUGGGGAAUCUUGCGCAAUGGCCGAAAGGCUGACGCAGCGACGCCGCGUGUGGGAGGACGCCCUUCGGGGUGUAAACCACUGUUGCCCGGGACGAACAUCCCCUUUCGAGGGGACUGACGGUACCGGGUGAGGAAGCACCGGCUAACUCCGUGCCAGCAGCCGCGGUAAUACGGAGGGUGCGAGCGUUGUCCGGAAUCACUGGGCGUAAAGGGCGCGUAGGCGGCGCGGGAAGUCAUCGGUGAAAGUUCAGGGCUCAACUCUGAAUCGGCCGGUGAUACUCUCGUGCUCGAGCACUGUAGAGGCAGGUGGAAUUCCGGGUGUAGCGGUGGAAUGCGUAGAGAUCCGGAAGAACACCGGUGGCGAAGGCGGCCUGCUGGGCAGUAGCUGACGCUGAUGCGCGACAGCGUGGGGAGCAAACGGGAUUAGAUACCCUGGUAGUCCACGCCGUAAACGAUGGGCACUAGGUGCUUGGGGGAGCGACCCUCUGAGUGCCGGCGCUAACGCAUUAAGUGCCCCGCCUGGGGAGUACGGCCGCAAGGCUGAAACUCAAAGGAAUUGACGGGGGCCCGCACAAGCGGUGGAGCAUGUGGUUUAAUUCGACGCAACGCGAAGAACCUUACCUAGGCUUGACAUGCAGAGGAAAGCUCUGAGAAACCAGAGCCCUCCUUCGGGACUUCUGCACAGGUGCUGCAUGGCUGUCGUCAGCUCGUGUCGUGAGAUGUUGGGUUAAGUCCCGCAACGAGCGCAACCCCCGUUCCCAGUUGCUAACGGGUUAUGCCGAGGACUCUGGGAAGACUUGCCGGUGCCAAACCGGAGGAAGGUGGGGACGACGUCAAGUCAUCAUGGUCCUUACGUCUAGGGCUACACACGUGCUACAAUGAUCGGUACAGAGGGCUGCAAACCCGCGAGGGGGAGCCAAUCCCAUAAAGCCGAUCUCAGUGCGGAUUGGAGGCUGCAACUCGCCUCCAUGAAGCUGGAAUCGCUAGUAAUCGUGGAUCAGCUACGCCACGGUGAAUACGUUCCCGGGCCUUGUACACACCGCCCGUCACGCCAUGGAAGCUGUGAGCGCCCGAAGUCCGUGUCGGAACCCGCAAGGGACCAAGGCGGCCGAAGGCGAGCGCAGUGACUGGGGCG
rnacentral:rRNA from 1 species